rnacentral:rRNA from 1 species
CACUCAGUACUGCGGAGAUCAUUG